rnacentral:lncRNA from 1 species
UCAAGAGGUUUUGAAACUGGUCUGUACGUUGUACGGAAAAUGGAAAGAAAACCUAGAGGAAGGAGAUAGAGAGAGUGUCAAUGGGGAGAGAGAAAGGGAGAGUGUGUGUGUCCACGUGGGUCACCAACCAAAACCAACAAAAUCUUCCUUCUAAUUGGGUCCAAUUAGUUAGGAAUAGAACUAAUUGGUCCUCAAGCUUAAGUUUAACUCACACUCCACAAUAAAACUCAACAUCCAAGGGUAUAUAAGUAAUUUCACACCAUCGAAAAAUAAAUAUUUCGAGAUGGGCUGUCAUAACAUCGUAACAUCCCACAUCGCUCAAGAGAGUGGAUCAUGUAAGCCUUAUAUGUAUAUUCACAUCUCUACCUAGCACGAGGCAUUUUGGGAACUCACUGGCUUCGGG